AAGGUGGGGUUUCUCGGCUUUACUCACCUGAUCACCUGUCUUCUGAUUACUGAUUUGAACUACAUUUCCCAGGAUGCAGUGAAAUGCAGCUUUGAUUUCUGGAAGUUUGCCAUUUGCCAGUAGCAAGGACUAGACGAUUUAACCAUCUUAACAGCUCUUAAGAAGAAAGAAGUCCAGGAAAUCCAGGCAACAUUGCCGAGGCUUUUUUGUUUCUCCUGCUCUUCAAUCUGGAUAAAGGAUUAUCCUCUCUCCUUGAGCAAGAAGCUCAGCAGGAGUGGGAGGAAUUGGAUGCCUCUUUGCUCCGGGUGAAGGUGGACAUUUUUUCUUUCCCCAACAGGCCCCGCCCACAGAUGCUCAGCAAGGAAGAUGGGUAAGGGACUGUCAGUCCGGGCAGUUCCUGGCUGUUUGGGAAGACAAGUGUGCAUUUGAGCCCGAGGCUGCCUCAGUAUUGCCCAUGGGGUUGAAGGGCUCAGAUUUGGAAAGCUUCCUGACCCUGGCUGAGAAAGAAAAAGCCCCAAAGGAAAUAAAAGUGCCCCCCUCCCACCCUGCAUUUGCUUUAAUGUGAGGUCUGGAAAUUCUCCAAGAAACACCAAUGAUUUCUAGAUAAAGUUCUACUGAGGGCAGUGCCUGGGCAAGUACAUUCUUAAGAACAAAGAACAGAGAACUGAGUCACUCCACCUCCUUAGGUCAAACAGAGGUAUUCUUGGGCUUAUGCAACGUGCUGUGCAACUCGGAAUUCCAGGGAUACCGCUGACUUAAAUAUACAUGAAUCCCAGGCCUGACCACCUUAGGACCAGUUUCUCUAUUUCAGCCUCUGACUGAUGGAGCAGAGAGGAUUCUAAAACUCUACAGAGCCGCCUCUCGAUUUCCUGCCUGAAUCCAAGGGAAUAUGAAGAUGAUGCAAUGUUGACCCUGUGGUUACGUCACCUCACACGACAAAGGAGAUUUUUCUGAUGUAAUUAAGAGCACCAAUUGCUUGACUUUGAGUUCAUCAAAAAGAGACCUUAUCGUGAAGACAGUUUCCCCGACUGUGGCAGAAGAAAAUGGAGGAGGAGUUUGGGGUGCAGUAACCAGCACUGAAGAAGACAACUCGGUUAUGCAAAGUCUAAAGGAAGGGUCUAGAAGUCCAAGGGUGGGCUACAGCUGACGGCUAGCAGGAGAAUGAAGGUGUCUAUCCUACAACUGCAAGGAACUGGAUUCUACCACUACCUGUGAUUCUCCCUCAUCUCCUCCCCAGCAUCCAAAUUAGAAGGCGAUUCAGUUGACACCUUGGUUGGAGAUUUAUAAGACCUUAACCAGAAAAUUCAUCCAAGCCUGGCCAGACUUCUGGCUUACAAAAUGUUGAAUUAAUAAAUGUUGUUGCAAAGCU